rnacentral:rRNA from 1 species
GACGAACGCUGGCGGCGUGCUUAACACAUGCAAGUCGAACAUGAUUUUUGUGGAAAUUCUUUCGGGAAUGGAAAUGAAAUGAAAGUGGCGAACGGGUGAGUAACACGUGAGCAACCUACCUUACACAGGGGGAUAGCCGUUGGAAACGACGAUUAAUACCGCAUGAGACCACAGAAUCGCAUGAUAUAGGGGUCAAAGAUUUAUCGGUGUAAGAAGGGCUCGCGUCUGAUUAGCUAGUUGGAAGGGUAAAGGCCUACCAAGGCGACGAUCAGUAGCCGGUCUGAGAGGAUGAACGGCCACAUUGGAACUGAGACACGGUCCAAACUCCUACGGGAGGCAGCAGUGGGGAAUAUUGCACAAUGGGGGGAACCCUGAUGCAGCGACGCCGCGUGAGCGAAGAAGGUUUUCGAAUCGUAAAGCUCUGUCCUAUGAGAAGAUAAUGGCGGUAUCAUAGGAGGAAGCCCCGGCUAAAUACGUGCCAGCAGCCGCGGUAAUACGUAUGGGGCGAGCGUUGUCCGGAAUUAUUGGGCGUAAAGGGUACGUAGGCGGUUUUUUAAGUCAGGUGUGAAAGCGUGAGGCUUAACCUCAUUAAGCACUUGAAACUGGAAGACUUGAGUGAAGGAGAGGAAAGUGGAAUUCCUAGUGUAGCGGUGAAAUGCGUAGAUAUUAGGAGGAAUACCGGUGGCGAAGGCGACUUUCUGGACUUUUACUGACGCUCAGGUACGAAAGCGUGGGGAGCAAACAGG